UUCCAAUAAGUGAAAGACCGCUCCGAGAUGCGAAAGUGCAUUGGAACCCUCGAUUACUCGAUGAGUUAAAUUGAGGUGUGAGUUGGAGAUGGAGUUGAUUGAGUUUCGAGGACGAAACUCUUAUUAAGGAGGGGAGAAUGUAAGGUACCGAACUUCUAAAAUUAUGAAGUUACGUUGUCCAUUUGGUUGGAGAGCCAUUUGAAUGGUUCCGGUAAGGUUGCGGUGUAAUGUAAUAUACCGGAUUUAAAUAUAAAAAUAAAAAUAAAUAAAAAUAGUAUGAGAUACUAUUUUUAUUGGAUUUGGAGAAGUGAAAUAUGAGUUAGAAAUGACUUGUGCUGAAAUCGGAAUGAAAACAGAAGAUUUAGAAUUUUCUGUGAGAGACGGGGCAGAUAAAUUAGCAGAAAAUGCACAGUCUCAGAAAAUUAUGAAAAUUGGAGGACAAGUCAGAAAUAUUUUUAUGAGGCUAGAUUUAAGGUUUCAUAUUUUUCUGACACCCGUAGAGUGAGAAAUAAAAUCCGACAGUUAUCUGAUAAAGAUUACAGUUCGGUACAGUUUUCAGUGACCAAACGGGGUCGAAACUGAAAAGUUAAGAUAUAUUCUUACUCAGUACGUUAAACUGAGUCUGCCUGUCAAAUUUGAGCUCAAUCGGACAUUCAGAAGGGUUCCGAUGGAACUUAUCAGAUUUGAGGGACUAAACUGAAAAGUGGAAUAGUUGAGGGGGCUGCUUGUGGAAAAGAGCAUUGCUCUUCUUCUCCUCCCUCAACCUGCGUACACAACCAGCCCCAAACCGACACACCCACACACGCAUGGAUAGGAGAAGAGAACCCUCUCUUUCUCUCUCUAAAUCUCUCCCAAAAUUAAAGGAAUUAGUGGAGAUUGAAGCUUGGAGGUGAAUCGUCAUCAUCUUCUUCAUCUUCUCCAUGGAUUGAAGCUAGUUUUGAGGUAAGGUUUUGCUACCCUUUAAUGGUAGAUCUCUAGAUAUGGGGUUUUGAUCUCUAGAAAUGGAUUUAGAGCUAUUCUAGAAUGCUAAAUAGACGAUUGAUGCUUGAAUCAUAGAUCGAUUUAAUGAUUUAUUGCCUAGUUGUAACAUAGGGCUCUAAAAUGCAAGUUUUGCUACUAGUAGGGUUUGAUCUCAUUUAACCCUCUGUAAACCUAAUUGAUAGGUCACUGAACGCGUUGGAAGCGACGGUUCGGCGUUGGAAGCGACGGUUCGGCGAUUCGUCGAGCCGGUGCAAAGUUAUUAAAGAAACGGACGUUUAGGCUUCGUUUCCGCCUGGAGGGCCGAGGCGACGUCGUAAAAUCGUGGAAACGGAUUUGAAGCACCGUAGCGAGAAACCGAAGACCUAUAAUUUCCAGAUCGCGGAUCGGAGGUCGUUUGGUGGUCGCGCACCGAUUGGGUCGAGCCGAGCGGCGUGCGCCGCGGGAGGCCGAUUGCAAGUGACGACGAGCAAUCGGAACGCGGUAAAAGGUGGGGGAGUGCCAUCCCGAAGCAAUCGGGUUUCUCCUUAUGUCUAAGUAUUUCUAUGUUGAUCAAUUAUGCAUAUUGAGCAUGAUGCAUUAUAGGGUGAUAGUUGAUGGUUGGUUCUAUAUAUAUAUAUAUUGCAUGCUUCUUGAAAGAGUAAUGUAUUUGGCUUAGUGCUUAUAUCUAGCAUGCUUGAGGUUUAUAUAUGCGAUGUGAAACCCUAUAAGAAAUGAUAGGUGUAGAUGAGAACUUAGUAAUAUAUUGGCUAUUGCAUUGGAAACUUUAAACAUGUCAUUGAUCAAGUUGCAUAUUAUGAUGUUGCAUAUAGGGUGUUUAGAAACUUGUAUCUAUAUUUGCAUGCUAGUGGUAAUGUAGCUUGGUAGAUAUAACACUUGAAUCUAGUAUGCAUGAAGUUAGUAUGUGCACCUUAACCCUAUAUGAGAUAAUAUGUAACGGAUUGGAACCUAGGCAAAUGAUAACCUAGUGUUUGUGUUGUGUGAACGAAGAACCUAGUAAAGUGUGAACUAGAGUCUUGGAAACUUGUAAAGGACGAGUGGCAUCUAGUUAAUGUUAACCUAUGACGAGUGGCAUCUAGUUGAUAGCACAUAUGAGAACCUUAGUGUAGUUGAAACACUAGAAGGUUGAGUAUUAGAUUGGCAUUGAGUUGAUGAGUUGUUAACCCUAGAUAAUAGGGUGUUCCCAGUGGAUGACACUAUCCUUAGUUGAUAGGAUGUUCCCAGUUCAUGAGAUUGGAUCGAGCUCACAUAGCCUGUCUGCACCUGUGGAGGUCGCUCCUCACAGGUAGUGCACUCCGGAGUUUGGCACGCGAGGGGGCCAGUGUAGUUGCCCUUGGACCAGUGUAGUGUCCGCAGGCGGUCUCGGGGUAGGUGAAGAGCUAGCCACCUCCCUAGGAGAUUGAUACACGUGAGACAGUGUGCGAGCCUUGUGUUCGCUGAGAGAUUGGGUGAUCAGAUGAAUGACAUCGUUGUUGAACCUAGUAGCAUGGUAGCUAACCUUUACUAUGAGUUGCAUCGACAUUGAGCAUAGUCACUUGGUAGUUGGACUAGUGGAUUUGCCUACAUACAGUGAGUGGACAUACUAUUCCUUCACCUAUGAGAUUUGAGAGGGACAGCUUGUACCUAGUAGAGCGAGAUUGAGUCGGGCAAGGAGCGGGGUAGCUCUUUGCCUAGGACCUUUGAGAUUGAGUCGGGCGAGGAGCGGGGUAGCUCUUUGCCUAGGACUUUCGAGAUUGGGUCGACCUAUGAAGAUACAGUCGGCAAGGAGCGGGGUAGCUCUUUGCUAGGACUUGAGAUUUGAGACCUAGGCAAUUUGGCCUAAUUGAUGGGUGUAACAGGAAUUGAUUAAGUGGAUUGCAUUUCAUACGAUGAUUAGACAUAGUAGACUUGCAUACUAUGUUUAGUUGUAUUUCAUUUCACUGUUGAAACAUACUAGCAUGGGGAUAGGUAGAUAUUUGCUAGUGACUAUGUGCCCGAUGCAUUCCUUAUUUAAUUGAGCAUAGUAGAAUAUAGUAGCCCACGGCCAUUUAUUUCCACUAUAUCUUUCUUAUCUAUCUAUCUGUGCCAGCUUAGACUUAGUGGGGAGAAAUAUCGCGGAGUCGGCGGCCGAACCCACUGGGAACUAUAUUUUAAUAGUUCUGCACCGAGUUUCGGUGCAACUGCGUCUCUCUUGCUCGAUUAGCGACUCAAGACGGCGCAAUGUCGACGCGCGACGCCAGUGAGGUUUGUGGAUUUUGGGGUACAGGUACCCAUUAGUGGGACACACGAGAAGCCGCAAUGCGGCAGAGGAAUCACGGUAUUGGGCUUAGCGCCCUAGAUUUUUUUGGCCUAUUGGGUAUUUACUUUCCUAUUUUGGCAUUAGAGUUACCCAUUACACCUGUAUUGAGAGUAGAUGAUGUAUAGGUGUGAGGCUGUUUUGAGAUAAAUGUAAACUAAUGUUUAUACUUUGGAUGAAUGUAAAGCUAAGUUGUAAUUAAAUGUAUCAAGUUGAAUGGUUGUAAUAGAAUAGUUAAGUAUCUCUCUUUUGUUUCACUUGUAUGUCUACUACUUGUGACGCUUGCUCUUGUAAUGUUCAGCACUGUUUGUGCUCUCGCUGUUGUUGCAUGAUCAUGUAUGUAUUCAAGUUGAUUUCCUGGGGACUUGUUGUACAUGAUCUCGUUGUUGAGCCUUGGGCGGACAGGGGAGGUGCUGUCCGUUCGGCGGUCCGCCUGCCGCGCUCGAACCGUGCCAAAUCGGUAGCGGCCUCGGGGCGCGGGGCGUGACAGCCUUCAUAGCCACACCAUCGGGAUUUGAGGUUCCCGAACCGGCCGGCACCGCCGUGACUGGCACAGCGGUCGCAGCCACACCCUCGGUCGCACUCGGCACCACUACAGGGGGCGCAGGGUGCUCGGCGCCCACUUGAGCCGCCACCGCUUGCUGUCGCUCUAAGGCCUCUUGAAGCCUUUGAAUUUGCUCCCCUUGGCGCUGCACGGACUCCGCUUGUUGUCGCACUACUCCAAUAAGUGCGGACAUUUGCUCCCGAAGCUCCUCGUCGCCACUUGCCCCGGAUUGCUC
rnacentral:lncRNA from 1 species